GUGGGGAAUUUUGCGCAAUGGGGGAAACCCUGACGCAGCAACGCCGCGUGAGUGAUGAAGGCCUUCGGGUCGUAAAGCUCUGUCAGAGGGGAAGAAGUGUGGGGUGGCUAAUAUCCAUUUCACUUGACGGUACCUUCAAAGGAAGCACCGGCUAACUCCGUGCCAGCAGCCGCGGUAAUACGGAGGGUGCGAGCGUUGUUCGGAAUUAUUGGGCGUAAAGCGCGUGUAGGCGGUUUUUUAAGUCUGAUGUGAAAGCCCUGGGCUCAACCCGGGAAGUGCAUUGGAAACUGGGAGACUUGAAUACGGGAGAGGGCAGUGGAAUUCCUGGUGUAGGAGUGAAAUCCGUAGAUAUCAGGAGGAACACCGGUGGCGAAGGCGGCUGCCUGGACCGAUAUUGACGCUGAGACGCGAAAGCGUGGGGAGCAAACAGGAUUAGAAACCCCAGUAGUCC
rnacentral:rRNA from 1 species